UUUUAAAAAGAUUUGUUAGUUGAUGAUAUUUUAAAAAGUAGUUAAGAGAGAAUAAGAGAGGAAAUCUUAAUGGUUUUAGAGAUAAACUAAGAGAUUUUAUUAAAACUAAAAAGUUAGAGAUAGAAUAGAAGAGGAUAAAAAGGAGAAGAGUAAAAAGGGGCGGGCAUUUUGUUACCCUAUAAGGAAAAAACGAAAAUUAGAAAGAUAAGGGAAAGAAAAGACUUUUUCUAGGAGAAAAUAUAGCCGAGAACGGGGCAUCAAAAAUGGGAGGACCAUUAGUGAUGUGAAACUUUCUUAGUGAUCUUGGAAACAAAAAUCAUACGAGACCAGGUAAGGGGAGUUACUAGAAUCAUCUUAUGUAUAAGGGAAGUGACUAAAAUUAUCUUAUGUAUGUAGGGUAAGGGGAAUGACUAGAAUCAUCUUGUGUAUGUAGGGUAAGGGGAGUGACUAGAAUUAUCUUGUGUAUGUAGGGUAAGGGGAGUGACUAGAAUUACCUUUUGUGUGUAGGGUUUGACAUUGUAUGAUAUUCUUUAUUAUAUGUUGCAAUCUGUAUAGUUGUUGGUGUGUAUGGUAAAUUUGGAGUGAUGAUGAUGAUGGGUGACGUGAGGGUGGGUGAAAGUGGGAGAGAGAAGAAGAGUUAAGUGUGAUGCGGGAAAGAGAUUCUCUUCGGCCGUGUGAUGCGGGAAGAUGAUGGGUUGGUAGUGAUGACUCUUUUGGUCGUGUGAUGAGGAAAAGAUAUUCUCUUGGGCUGUGUGAUACGAGAAGAGGGUGUCAUAUGAAUUGUAAUGAAUUGGUUAUGAUGAUUAGGUGGUGUGGCAGUGUAGAGGACAUAGACCACUAAGUUGUGAUGUUAUUGUUGUGAUGUUAAUGUUGUGAUGAUAGAUGUUUAUGAUUUGGUUAUUCUUGUAGUUAAGAUGAUUAUUGUAUAUUGUGUGAUAUAAUAAUUUUGGUUGCUCACCCUGAAAGGUUGUGGUUGUU
rnacentral:lncRNA from 1 species